ensembl:lncRNA
AGUUCUGGAGGUCAGAAUUUCAAGAUGUGUCUCCAUGGGCUAAAGUCAGCAUCAACAGGGCUGUGUUCCUUCUGGAAGCUCUAAAGCAACAUUUAAAAUACGGAAGAGACCGAUUCUUCACCGUGGAAUUGCCUUGGCAUCCCUGCCAAAAAACAACUGGAUCUACAUCUGGAUGCUGUUUUGUGCCAGUGAUACAUGUGCCUCUUUUUACACUGACCAUUUGCUCACAUUAAAAGAAGUUGAUAAAAUGAACUGUCAUGAAAAUAAUAGAUGUCCUGUAUUUAAUGACUCUCUUCAAAAUGUGGACAAUUCUUCAAGCCUGGUCGUGGACUGGAGAUGAAAAACUCAAACGCUAGAUAAUGAAAUAUGCAUUACCAGCAUUUAAUUCUCAGUCUUGAAAUUGUUUCAUCACACAAACAUCAACAUAGAAUCAAAGUCAUUGAGAAGAUGUGACAGCAGGUUGACCCUUGAAUGGGACGGGGCAGUUGGAGGCUCCUCACCCCUCCCCUGUCAUUCGAAUGUACCUUCUGCCCACUGUUCCCGCACCAGGACCUGUUCCAAGGACACAGCCUUGAGACAGCAAAGUAUUGCUGAGACCAUCUGGACAGUAGAUGGACUGAACCCCAUUUAAGAUUCCAGUUAAACUUUUAAGAUUCUCAUGGGAUCUUCUCCUCUCGAAGCCACGAAUGCGAGUUCCCUGCUUAUUAAACCUGCACCUGCCGGUCUAGAGUGACUGCCUCUUUCUUUGGUCUCUCUCUGCCCUGCUUCUCGGCCGCGGGGCCAUUUCAGAUCUCACCCUGGAAACUCCUGCAGUUGCAAACCAAUGAUGUGUUAUAACAUCAAGCAAAAAGUGAUUUCAUUCUCUUAUAUUUAUAACAGCAUUUACAUGGAAAAAUCAAAUCAUUUAUGUUAAGAUUUUGUAUUCUGAGAGGAUGAGAAUUUCCAGUUUGUUAGGAUGUUUAAAAGGCCUAAUGGUUUUAAUAAUUGCUAUAUUUACUCUGUUAAACAUUUGCUUAUUGUAGUAUUAAAAAAUAAUCUUGAAGUUUUGGGGUUUUUAAAAUCAUGUUUCAAUAAAUGAAAGUAUCUCAAGAUUAUCUGGAUCAAAAGUUGCAGAAUUAUUAUCAUUUUCAUUGUAUGAUGAUAGUAGAGUUUCUUGUUUCCCAUUUUUAUCAAUUAUAAUAAUGGCCAAGAAUUUUGAGAAUCAAUGAAGUUUUUGAAGAUUUUUUUUCAAAACCUUCAUUUAAGUUUAUCAUAAUUGGAAAAAUGAAACAAUCAUAAGCAUAUACCUUAAUGCAUUUUUUUAAAAUCAAGCAUACCCAGGUGGCCAACAUUUGGAGCAAGAAACAGAGUGCUUUAGGAAUAAAGAAACCUCUUUCAUGCUGCCUUCCGUUUAUUGUUUUUCAAAUGUUUCACCAAGUUUGCUUUCCUAGGAUGAAUGCAACUUAGUUUCCGAAGGGUUUUUUGCUGUUUAUUUUUGUAUAAACUGCUGGAUUCAGUUUCCUUAAUUCCUGCUGACAAUUAUUGCAUCUAGUUUCGUGAAUGAGAUUGGCUUUGAUACUUUCUUUUCUCAUAUAUAUAUAUAUUUUUUUUCAAUUCCAGGGCUAAGAGUUUUUCCUAGUGUCAUAAACUGAGUUAGGGAACAGAUUCCCUCCUCGAGUCCUCUGGAGGGGUUUGAGAUUAGAAUUACAUGUUUUCAAAUGUUUUUCUAAUUUGCCAGUGAAACACCCCAGCAUAGGUGUUUUCUUAUUUUUCACCAUUGUAUUCUGGGUGAGGUAAAAGAUAAAAACGAAAACCACCAGUCUUCAGGUGGGAGCAAUUGACAGGCGGCAGUUUGGAAACAGCGUGGAUCAGAAUCACCUGAAGGGCUUGUUAAAUCUGAGAGGAAAGGGAGCUCAGGUGCAGGGCUUUUGAUUUGGAGUAAAUGGGCAAUGGGCGGGGAUAAAUAGGCUGGGGGGGGAGCCUCGGAUCGUCUAGCAAGUUCGGAGAGAGGGAGAGCUUCAGUGCUGCUCCUGCAGGUCGGAGACCCACACGCUUGGAGAACCGCGGAAUGAGAGAGGUUAGUGCCUGCCAAGAACCGUGUUUCAGCCAAGUUCAAGGUCAACUCAGGACCAGUCUUCCUGGGUGUACAUGUUUAGCUGUCCUCCUUUUGAAGUGGCUUUAAGAAAUUUUUAUCUUAUUCGUGAAUAUCUCAGUACCUAUGGCUAAGAUAUGAGAACUCUGAUUUUUUCCUUGUUUGAUGCUCAUAUGUAGAGAUAAAAAUUGAUUUUUGUGUGCUCCUCCUGGUUGACCUCACAGGGGUCACUUGCUGGUUUGGGAGGGUUUUGUUUGUUGGUUUCUUGGGAUGCCCUGCGUAGAAAACCAUGGACAUCUUGCGAAGAGAAAGUCUUACUUUUUUCUUCACUACUUAUGUUUCUUGUAUGGCUUUUUCUUGCCUGUCAUGGUGGCUGGAACUUCCAGUAUUACAGUCAAUGAGAGUCAGGAGAAUGCAUUAUUGCCUGGUUUCUGGUUUUAGAGAGAAAGUUUUUUAGUCUUGUGCUGUUGAGCCAGAUGUUGGCUUUUAGCGGUUCUUGGGUGUUUUUUUUGUUUGUUUUUUGUUUUCUGUUUUUUGUUUUUUAAUCUUUAUUAAGUUGAGGUAAUUCCUUUCUAACUUUAAAAGUUUUUAUCAUGAGUGUUGUAUUUUCUCAAAUGUUUUUGGUUCUUUGCAUGCUGAAAUGAAUGACUUUGAUUUUUCAAAAGUUAAAUCAACCCUGCCUAGUACUUUCUGCUAUUUAGGAUACUGUCUUGGGUUUUGGUGUCAGGAUCAUCCUGGUCUCAUAAAAUGAACUGGGGAAAACUCCACAAGGGAACCUUCAAAUUUAGCAAUGGCCUGGCAAUGAAUGAUGUAAAUCAUUAGGACAAAA